CAGACGACAGUGGAAUAGCUGUGGGAGAGCAGAAUUGUAUGCGUGUAUGUUUGGCCAGGCGUUCCCGAUGUCACGUGACCGAAUGAAUGACGUCAUCACCCGACCUGCUGUCAUCGAGAACAAUGAACAAUGUCAUGUGUCGGAAGGUUCUUUUCACUGUACACAUCUUCAGUGGUAGGGUGGAAUAACCUGAGGAAGGAAGCAUCGCCAUUCUAUUUGUUGAUAGCUAGAUUACUGUGUGUACAUAUGAUGAUACGGCUAGACCGG